rnacentral:rRNA from 1 species
UACGUAGGGGGCUAGCGUUGUCCGGAUUUAUUGGGCGUAAAGAGCGUGUAGGCGGCCAUGUAGGUCCGGUGUGAAAACUCGAGGCUUAACCUCGAGAUGUCAUCGGAAACCAUUUGGCUAGAGUCCGGAAGAGGAGAGUGGAAUUCCUGGUGUAGCGGUGAAAUGCGCAGAUAUCAGGAAGAACACCGGUGGCGAAGGCGGUUCUCUGGGCAUUACCUGACGCUGAGGAGCGAAAGUGUGGGGAGCGAACAGG